AUACAUGCCAUACUUAAGUUUUACAAGCCAUUUACCCAGAUGAAAGUCCUUUAGAUAGUGUGAUCGAACCUUCGACCCGUCCCGAUUCCCGAGCUGGCUUGUUCAAAACUAUAGUAAAUAAAGAGGAGGGAGUAAGCAUAAAUGCUUAGUAAGUUCAUAUGUAAAUAACAAGUAACAUAACAAUACAAAUAUACCAAACAACUUUAGCAUGGUAUCACCAAAACAUAUGUCAUAUUUCUAAACAUCAUUCAUCAUCUUACCACCUUAUCGUUGUUGUAUCUAUUAUCAACCCGAGGGUUAAGAACAUACCUGUCCAAAGUGUCCAUUUCACAACACUUACCAAUAAGUCGCUUGCAUCUUAAGUGUUCUUUCAUUUCACUAGAAAUUUCACCCGUUGAACACAUCGAAAUACAACUCGGAUACACGGAUAAUUUGCACAUAAGUGCCUCAUAUGUAAUCAAGAAAUCACGUAACCCGCCCCUAAGUGAACUCAGACUCAACUCAACGAGCUCGGGCGUUCGCAUCCAUAAGUGAACUCGGACUCAACUCAACGAGUUUGGAUGCCUAGUUACAUUUCACGAACUCGGACUCAACUCAACGAGUUCGGACAUUCGCAUCCAUAAGUGAACUCGGACUCAACUCAAUGAGUUUGGAUGCUCAACCAUCCUAGUGACAUGUCACUUGUAUCCUAAUCUAUUCCUAAGGUUCAAACGGGAUUUUCCUCGAACACAUAUCCUUGCCAUCUUCCGUAAAAUACCAAAACCAAUACUUAGUAGGACUUUAUAUUUAACAAUUAAUACACAUAAUUUGCAUUUUAUUCGAAAAUAACCACAAAGCAUAUAUUUCAUAAUAAAAAUCAGCAUAUCAUAUAAUUAACAUCAAUAACUUAAAAAUAACAAUUAUGCUACAUUAUUUACACAUGAACUUACCUUGGUACCAAAAUAUAAAGAUUUUGCAAUUUAGUCCACAAUAUUUUCUUUUCCUCGAUCGCGACUUGAAUCUCGUUUCUCUUGAUCUAUAAUGCCAAAUUAAUCUUAUUUAAUACAUACAUUCAUCAAAACAGCAUUUAAUACGAACUUUGGAAAAAUUACACUUUUUCCCCUAAACUUUUGCAUAAUUACACUUUUGCCCCUAGGCUCGGGAAUUAAACUUUAUUCCUUAUUCUUAUGUUUUAUAACAUGCUGAUCAUUUUGCCCUUCUAUGGCAACAUCAAAUUCUUACUCUAACAUAUACUUGUGACUAUUAGGUAUUUUUACCGAUUAAGCCCUUUUACUUGUUUUCACUCAAAACCGAGUAGCACAAGUUGUCUAACAUAAUUUAAAACCCCAUAUUCUAUCAUAAAACAUCAAAAUACACAAAUUUCACCUAUGGGUAUUUUUCCAAAUAUAAACCCUAGGUUGAAUUAUUGCUAACAUAAGCUUAAUCGAGCUACCGGGAUUCCAAAAACGUAAAGAAUAUUAAAAACGGGGCUUGAAAUCACUUACUAUGGAGCUUGGAAGCUUGAAACAAACCCUAACUAUGGAGAACCCUUGAGAUUUCGGCCUAAUGAAGAAGAUGGAUAAAAAUUGGCUUUUAAUUUUGUUUUUAAUUCAUUUUAAUAACUAAAUGACCAAAAUGCCCUUCUACUAAACUUUCCAAAAAUUCAUUCGAUGUCCUAAUUUUGUCCAUGAACUUAAAAUUGGUCAAAUUGCUAUUUAAGAUCUCCUAAUUAAUAUUUCAAUGCAAUUUCAUACUAAAAACUUCUAGAAUGCAAAUUUUGCAACUUAUUCGAUUUAGUCCCUAAUUUCAAUUUAAGCACUUUAGGCAUAGAAUUUCAUCACAAAAUUUUCACACAAUCAUGCAAUCAUAUCAUAAUCAUCAAAAUAAUUAUAAAAUAAUUAUUUCUAUCUCGGAUUUGUGGUCACGAAACCACUAUUCCGAUUAAGCCCUAAUUCAGGAUAUUACAACUCUCCUCCCCCUCCCCUUUUAAGGAUUUUCUUCCUCGAAAAUCUUACCGAUAAACAGGUGUGGGUAUUGGUUUUUCAUAGUUUCUUCAGGUUCCCAUGUAGUCUCUUCUACCCCAUGCCUUUGACACAGCUGGAUCGAGAUCCAUUUACUAUGUAAAAAUCAUUUAAAAAGGUCAGAAGUCGUCACACUAUCACAAUUCAUACAUAUGGCAUGUAUAGCAAAAUCCGUACAUACAACACGUAGUCCGAGAACUGACUAAACCUGCUCUGAUACCACUAAAUGUAACGCCCCCAUGCCCGAAACCGUUGCCGGAGUCGAGCUUGAGGAGUUACCGAACAUAAUUUAUCAAAUUAAGAACUUCAAAUAAUUUGUUUCUACAUUCACAGCUUUCUAGCUACCCGCGUCACAGUUACAAGAAAAAUCAUAUCUCGAGUUACGAAACUAAAAAUCAAAAUCCGUAAAUUUUUCCUAAAUCUAGACUCAUAUAUCUAUUUACUAAAUUGUUUCUAGAAUUUUUGGUUGGGCAAAUUAGUACAGUUUAUUAGUUAAAGUCUCCCAUGUUUCAGAGUUCGACUGCUCUGACCUCUGUGUAUUACGAAUCAGAUAUCUCUCUAUACAGAAUUUAAAUGACUAUGAGGUUUCUUUAUAUUAAAACUAGACUCAAUAAGAAAUCUGUACUUAUAAAUAAAAACUUCUAAUUAUUUUUGUAAAAUUUAUUAUGAAUUUUUAAAGUCAGAACAGGGGAUUCAGAAAUCACUCUGGCCCUGUUUCACAAAAGUUUAAAUAUCUCAUAAAAUAUAAUUUAUAUGCCUGUUUUGUUCAAUUCAAUUUCAUAACUUACUCAUCAUAUUUCCAUUUAUACUAUUUUUAGUGAUUUUUCAAAUUCAUGUCAUUGCUGCAGCAAUAUUCUGUUUUAAGGCAAAUUUCAUCUUUUCAUGAGUUGUUAUGAACUAGAUAACCUAUUAAACUUCCAUGAUAUCAAACAUGAUCUAAAUUUAACCAUCACCAUGACUUAUCAAUAUCAAACAUUUUCUCAACCAAUCAUGGCCAUAUCAUAAAAUUAUUUACACAAAAUAAGUAUAUUGCUAUAGAUGUCAUACUUAAGUUUUACAAGCCAUUUACCCAGAUGAAAGUCCUUUAGAUAGUGUGAUCGAACCUUCGACCCGUCCCGAUUCCCGAGCUGGCUUGUUCAAAACUAUAGUAAAUAAAGAGGAGGGAGUAAGCAUAAAUGCUUAGUAAGUUCAUAUGUAAAUAACAAGUAACAUAACAAUACAAAUAUACCAAACAACUUUAGCAUGGUAUCACCAAAACAUAUGUCAUAUUUCUAAACAUCAUUCAUCAUCUUACCACCUUAUCGUUGUUGUAUCUAUUAUCAACCCGAGGGUUAAGAACAUACCUGUCCAAAGUGUCCAUUUCACAACACUUACCAAUACGUCGCUUGCAUCUUAAGUGUUCUUUCAUUUCACUAGGAAUUUCACCCGUUGAACACAUCGGAAUACAGCUCGGAUACACGGAUAAUUUGCACAUAAGUGCCUCAUGUGUAAUCAAGAAAUCACAUAACCCGCCCCUAAGUGAACUCGGACUCAACUCAACGAGCUCGGGUGUUCGCAUCCAUAAGUGAACUCGGACUCAACUCAACGAGUUCGGAUGCCUAGUUACAUUUCACGAACUCGGACUCAACUCAACGAGUUCGGACAUUCGCAUCCAUAAGUGAACUCGGACUCAACUCAACGAGUUCGGAUGCUCAACCAUCCUAGUGACAUGUCACUUGUAUCCUAAUCUAUUCCUAAGGUUCAAACGGGAUUUUCCUCGAACACAUAUCCUUUCCAUCUUCCGUAAAAUACCAAAACCAAUACUCGGUAGGACUUUAUAUUUAACAAUUAAUACACAUAAUUUGCAUUUUAUUCGAAAAUAACCACAAAGCAUAUAUUUCAUAAUAAAAAUCAGCAUAUCAUAUAAUUAACAUCAAUAACUUAAAAAUAACAAUUAUGCUACAUUAUUUACACAUGAACUUACCUUGGUACCAAAAUAUAAAGAUUUAGCAAUUUAGUCCACAAUAUUUUCUUUUCCUCGAUCGCGACUUGAAUCUCGUUUCUCUUGAUCUAUAAUGCCAAAUUAAUCUUAUUUAAUACAUACAUUCAUCAAAACAGCAUUUAAUACGAACUUUGGAAAAAUUACACUUUUUCCCCUAAACUUUUGCAUAAUUACACUUUUGCCCCUAGGCUCAGGAAUUAAACUUUAUUCCUUAUUCUUAUGUUUUAUAACAUGCUGAUCAUUUUUCCCUUCUAUGGCAACAUCAAAUUCUUACUCUAACAUAUACUUGUGACUAUUAGGUAUUUUUACCGAUUAAGCCCUUUUACUUGUUUUCACUCAAAACCGAGUAGCACAAGUUGUCUAACAUAAUUUAAAACCCCAUAUUCUAUCAUAAAACAUCAAAAUACACAAAUUUCACCUAUGGGUAUUUUUCCAAAUAUAAACCCUAGGUUGAAUUAUUGCUAACAUAAGCUUAAUCAAGCUACCGGGAUUCCAAAAACGUAAAGAAUAUUAAAAACGGGGCUUGAAAUCACUUACUAUGGAGCUUGGAAGCUUGAAACAAACCCUAACUAUGGAGAACCCUUGAAAUUUCGGCCUAAUGAAGAAUAUGGAUAAAAAUUGGCUUUUAAUUUUGUUUUUAAUUCAUUUUAAUAACUAAAUGACCAAAAUGCCCUUACUACUAAACUUUCCAAAAAUUCCUUCCAUGUCCUAAUUUUGUCCAUGAACUUAAAAUUGGUCAAAUUGCUAUUUAAGAUCUCUUAGUUAAUAUUUCAAUGCAAUUUCAUACUAAGAACUUCUAGAAUGCAAAUUUUGCAACUUAUUCGUUUUAGUCCCUAAUUUCAAUUUAAGCACUUUAGGCAUAGAAUUUCAUCACGAAAUUUUCACACAAUCAUGAAAUCAUAUCAUAAUCAUCAAAAUAAUUAUAAAAUAAUUAUUUCUAUCCCGAAUUUGUGGUCACGAAACCACUAUUCCGAUUAAGCCCUAAUUCAGGAUAUUACAGGUGCACCCGUGAGGGAUCC
rnacentral:lncRNA from 1 species